CCCACACUCACAGCCUUACGGCCACCUCUGUGAAGGAGGCCCUGUGCUGGCUUGUCUAUCUCACCCAUGAAGAAAGCACAUCUGCAAAAAUACACACAUUGUGGAUAGAAAACCUCCUCCUCCUAAUGCAGCGUGGGCCGGUAGGAAUGAGGACAGCUUCUUCUCUCUGGAAUAAUAUUACAGGAGCAGAGAAGGUCACCUGAUUGCUGCUGUUAGAGCCUGGUCAUCAAGCCCAGUCCCCAGCUCAAUG